rnacentral:misc_RNA from 1 species
AAGUCGUAACAAGGUUUCCGUAGGUGAACCUGCGGAAGGAUCAUUAACGAGUUUUGAAGUGGGUUUGAUGCUGGCCUUCCCAGGCAUGUGCUCGCCCUACUCUCAUCCACUCACACCUGUGCACCUAUAAAUGUCAGAAGAUUCAUCCCCUAGGCUCUUAGGGGUGUAGUUUGAGGUAACUUGAACUAUUGGGUUGAGUCUUUUGCGUUUACUUUUCACAAACUCUUGAAUGUAAUAGAAUGUCCAUGGCCUACGGGCUUUAUAAAUGAAAUACAACUUUCAACAACGGAUCUCUUGGCUCUC